GACGAACGCUGGCGGCGUGCUUAACACAUGCCAGUCGAACGGAAAGGCCCUGCUUUUGUGGGGUGCUCGAGUGGCGAACGGGUGAGUAACACGUGAGUAACCUGCCCUUGACUUUGGGAUAACUUCAGGAAACUGGGGCUAAUACCGGAUAGGAGCUCCUGCUGCAUGGUGGAGGUUGGAAAGUUUCGGCGGUUGGGGAUGGACUCGCGGCUUAUCAGCUUGUUGGUGGGGUAGUGGCUUACCAAGGCUUUGACGGGUAGCCGGCCUGAGAGGGUGACCGGCCACAUUGGGACUGAGAUACGGCCCAGACUCCUACGGGAGGCAGCAGUGGGGAAUAUUGCACAAUGGGCGGAAGCCUGAUGCAGCAACGCCGCGUGCGGGAUGACGGCCUUCGGGUUGUAAACCGCUUUCGCCUGUGACGAAGCGUGAGUGACGGUAAUGGGUAAAGAAGCACCGGCUAACUACGUG
rnacentral:rRNA from 1 species